ensembl:lncRNA
AGAAAACAACUUACCAUUUCGAACCCAUGUCUAGUAGGCCAAUCCUCCUUUAACCUAAACCUUCGUCAUCAGUCCCAGGCCAGGAUAUAGUAGCCUGUUACUCUAUCCCUCUCGUCCCAGGUCCCGGCAAUAGUAGCCUGGUCCUAACCUCCAGUCCUCAUCCCAGCUAUUAGUUAGCCUGUCCUAACUCCAUUCCGUCCCAGGCCAGGACAUAGUAGCCUUGUCCUAACUCCAGUCCUCAGUCCCAGGCCAGGAUAUAGUAGCCUGGUUCUAACCUCCAGUCCUCAGUCCCAGGAUAUAGUAGCCUGGUCCUAACCUCCAGUCCUCAGCCCCAGGCCAGGAUAUAGUAGCCUGGUCCUAACCUCCAGUCCUCA